rnacentral:rRNA from 1 species
CAGCCGCCGCGGUAAUACGUAGGGUGCAAGCGUUAAUCGGAAUUACUGGGCGUAAAGCGUGCGCAGGCGGUUUGUUAAGACAGAUGUGAAAUCCCCGGGCUUAACCUGGGAACUGCAUUUGUGACUGGCAAGCUAGAGUAUGGCAGAGGGGGGUGGAAUUCCGCGUGUAGCAGUGAAAUGCGUAGAUAUGCGGAGGAACACCGAUGGCGAAGGCAGCCCCCUGGGCCAAUACUGACGCUCAUGCACGAAAGCGUGGGGAGCAAACAGGAUUAGAGACCCCAGUAGUCCCUGUCUCUUAUAC